rnacentral:rRNA from 1 species
UCUGCCCGCUGGCGGCGUGCCUAAUACAUGCAAGUCGAGCGAACAGACGAGGAGCUUGCUCCUCUGACGUUAGCGGCGGACGGGUGAGUAACACGUGGAUAACCUACCUAUAAGACUGGGAUAAAUUCGGGAAACCGGAGCUAAUACCGGAUAAUAUAUUGAACCGCAUGGCUCAAUAGUGAAAGACGGUUUUGCUGUCACUUAUAGAUGGAUCCGCGCCGCAUUAGCUAGUUGGUAAGGUAACGGCUUACCAAGGCAACGAUGCGUAGCCGACCUGAGAGGGUGAUCGGCCACACUGGAACUGAGACACGGUCCAGACUCCUACGGGAGGCAGCAGUAGGGAAUCUUCCGCAAUGGGCGAAAGCUUGACGGAGCAACGCCGCGUGAGUGAUGAAGGUCUUCGGAUCGUAAAACUCUGUUAUUAGGGAAGAACAAAUGUGUAAGUAACUAUGCACGUCUUGACGGUACCUAAUCAGAAAGCCACGGCUAACUACGUG